rfam:Myotis brandtii contig308258, whole genome shotgun sequence.
AGACAUUGAAGGUGACCUGGCUGUGACAAGCUACCCAAGCUAUUCUUACUGGCUUGCCGGUGUCCCCUUCUUGCUCCUCGGCAAUUCUGUGUCUGUUCUUCUUGAAGCAGAAUGCUCAGGCAAGAAAGACACUUUUUAAAAAAAAUGUUAAAGAACUAUCUAUGCCGAUUUCUGUUUGGUAGCAAAUUUCUAGUUUAAGUGUACCUCUUAGAAUUGAAAAAAAUGGCACUUGAACCUUAAAAGGAAUAAGAAAUCAUUUUAUGUAGAGCUUUCAGUUGAAAAGAAUCCUUUUCUAG